rnacentral:lncRNA from 1 species
GUGAAAUUUUUUGAAUUUUGAUUUUAGUGGUAUGCAUUUAUGAAAAGGUUAAGAACCACUGAUAUAGGGCAUUAUGAUUUUUUCCAUUGUUAAAUUGUUGCCAACUAAUGACCUCCAGUAUUUACAUAAGUAUUCUUAAUUUUUUUCCCCCAAGAAUGAAUUAAAAAAAAAUUGAACUUUAUGAACAUUUAUUUAGCAUUUAUUUAUUGCAAUCAAUGCUCAUAUUUUUGAUUUUGUUAAAACUUUAUAUUUGAAAAAAAUUCAUAAAUCUGAGAACUCAUAAACCAAGAGCUAUCCAUAUUUGAUAUUAGUAGCUUAAAAAUGUGCUUGAAUAUACUGUGCAAAUGUUUGUAGGCAAUGAUACUUAUGUCAAGUAAUUAUCAUCAGCAGAUCAGCAGCUUGAAUAUACUGUACAAAUAUCUGUGCCUACAAACGUUUGCACAGUAUAUUCAAGCACUGUAUAGACAUAUAUACAGUAUAUGUCUACAUCUCGUCAUAUUCCAAAAUCUACUGUAUCGUGGGUUGAUUUUAACCAAAUGUGACUUGCUAUAUUAUGAUAUGAGCCAUUAUUGACAGUUAUUUUCAACAAAAAUUCAAUUCAAAAGAAGUUAUGCCUACUAAUUGAUGAUAUUUUGAAUUUUUGUACAGCUUUUAGAACCUAAUAAACUAAAAAAAGGAAAAGGUUAAUUUUUUUAGAAGUUUUUGAAUUUUAAAAUUACUGAUUUUUCUCUCUUAAUAUUAGAUAUUAAAUGUUGGUUAACAUCAUUAGAAGAGACAUUUUAUUCUGUAUAAGUAGUAUAUAAAUAGUAAAUUUUGUUGUACAAUGUAAUAAUUUUACAUAAAAUUGAAAAUUCA